AAACCGUUCAGGGGUAAACCUGAGAAACCCAAAAGAUCGAAUGGGGAGAUUCUUCGUCAACGGUGCUGGCUCCCGUUGGUGCGCGAUGCUCCGGAUGGGCCCUCGUGGUUCCGUUAGCGAGGGCACGCCACCUUCGGCCUGAAUGUUCCGGUGCCGUAGUCGUGCACUUCUCCUCUAGUAGAACGUCGCGACCCGUUGUGUGUCGGUCUACGGCCCGAGAGGGCGCCUGUCGCGUCGCUUCGCGCGCACGCGGCAGACCCUCGGUCGCCUGGCCGGCUGCACGACGGUACUCGCACGGUAUCGGGCCGCAACCAAUCCAUUCUCGAAUGUGUUUGCGUCUGUCCCGCCGCAAGCUCGGUCAGUUUUACCCGGAGGCACGGAGUCUGUGGCCGUCCCCGGGCCUGGCCAGCUGUUCGCUGUGCGGAGUCCUCAGACUGGCCAAGCCUCGAAUUACCGGUCGGCGACGCUAUUGCUUUGGGUACUCUCAGGACCCGUCUUGAAACACGGACCAAGGAGUCUAACAUGUGCGCGAGUCAAUGGGAUUGAUUAAACCUAAAGGCGAAAUGAAAGUAAAAAUCGGCCUUCGCGUCGAUCGAGGGAGGAUGGGCCGCGUUGCUAUGCGGCCUCGCACUCCCGGGGCGUCUCGUUCUCAUUGCGAGGAGAGGCGCACCCAGAGCGUACACGUUGGGACCCGAAAGAUGGUGAACUACGCCUGGUCAGGACGAAGUCAGGGGAAACCUUGAUGGAGGUCCGCAGCGAUUCUGACGUGCAAAUCGAUGGUAGGAACUGGGUAUAGGGGCGAAAGAAUAAUCGACCCAUUUAGUAGCUGGUUCCCUCCGAAGUUUCCCUCAGGAUAGUUGGCACUCGGUCGUUCCUAUGUGAACAGACGCGAGUCUCAUCUGGUAAAGCGAAUGAUUAGAGGCCUUGGGGCCGAAAGGACCUCCACCUAUUCUCAAACUUCAAAUGGGUGAGAUCUUUGGCUUGCUUGGAUCAUGAAGCCACGAGAUUU
rnacentral:rRNA from 1 species